rnacentral:lncRNA from 1 species
GCCACAUCCCCACCCCUGUUUUGUAUUUUCUAUUUAGAGAGAGUCUCACUGAGUUUCUUAGGACCUCGCUAAAUUGCUGAGGCUUUGAACUCUUGAUCCUCCUGUCUCAGCCUCCCAAGCCACUGUGAUUACAGGCAUGUGCCACCAUGCCCGCCUUCAAGUUUAUUUUUUAUAGGAUGUAGAGAGCUAACUUUUUUCCUAGAAGAGUCAUUCAGAUAUAAAAUUUAUUAAAUCAUUGAUUCCUCAUUGGAAGUACCUUUUUAAAAAUUUCCUGCAAGCUGGGUGCAGUGUGUCACAUGUUUAUAAUCCCAUCCACUCGGGAAGCUGAGGCAAAAGGAUUGUGAGUUUGAGGCUCGCCUGGGCAAUAGAGCAAGUCCCUGUCUCAAACUCCUACAUGUAUUUGGGUUUCUCUUUGAGAUGUCUGAUCAGAGGGUCCAUGUGCUCGUGUCAUGUAUUGCCGUGUGCUUAGGACCUGGGAUGCAAUUCCCCUGCCCCCACCCUUGACCAUUUUGCAUUUUCUCUUACAUAGAACUUUAGAAUGAGCUUCCCAAUUUUUCAUGUAAGAGUCUGGUUGGGAUUUUCGUUGGCAUGGUUUCAUGUAGUCUGAUUUAGGAAGAAAUGGCUAUCUUAGCGGUUCUGAAUCUUCCUCUCCAGGACUGAGGUAGGUAUAUGUGUUCUUUUGUAAAGUGUAGGUAUUCUCAUAUGGGCCUUUUACAUUUCUAAUUUGAUUUAGUCUUAGGAAUUUUGUAAAAUUAUUUGUUACUUGUUAUGUAUUACUUAAUGGGAUCUUUUUUUUGGGGGGGGUGGUACUGGGGAUUGAACUCAGGGGCACUUGACCACUGAGCCACAUCCCCAGCCCUAUUUCGUAUUUUAUUUAGAGACAGGGUCUCACUGAAUUGCUUAGUGCCUAGCUUUUUGCUGAGGCUAGCUUUGAAAUCGUGAUCCUCCUGCCUCAGCCUCCCAAGCCGAUGGGAUUACAGGCAUGCACCACCACACCCUGUAUGAAUGGGAUCUUUUGAAAUGACGUUUCUGACUGUCACUAGCAUAUAGGAAAGCUUUGUUGCUUAAUUCAUGGAUCUAAUUGAACUCUGAUUUGUUCUAAUAAUUCUUCAGUUGAUUCUCUUGGCUUUUUAGUCAAAGUCAUGUACUGCUAGUAGCAUCUUUUAUCUUACCCUUUACCUCGGUUUCUUCUCCUUGUGAGACACAGAGACCAGGGCCUCCAGGGUGUCAAAUGGCACCCAUAAUUGUUUCUUAGUGGGAAUGGUGCUCUCUUUCAACAUGAGAUAGGGUCCUUGCUUUAGGCAUCUGGUGGAUUUCUUUCAUUAGCUGAAGGGUUCCUUCUGUUCUUAGAUUAUUGACAUGUAUUUUCCCCAUUUUAUUCAACAAUGAUGAAUUUUGACAUCUGCUGAGAUAAUCAAAUUAUUGUAUUAAUGUACUAACUUGCUUAAUAGGUUUCCUAAAACUUGCCUAAUAGGUUUCCUAAUGUUGAUACUAGGGAGGGAACCCAAGGAUCUUUAUUCACUGAGCCACAUCCCCAGUACUUUUUUGUAUUUUAUUUAGAGACAGAGUUGCUUAGGACCUCACUAAGUUGUAGAGGCUGGCUUUGAACUCAUGAUCCUCCUGCCUCAGUCUUCUAAGCCACUUGGGUCACAGGCAUGCGCCCACACCCAGCAAUCCUGCUUAUUUUUAUUUUUUUGUUUUACUGGAUUUUCUGGUGCUGGGAAUUGAAUUCAGGUGCACACCACCAC